UGGGGAAUCUUCCGCAAUGGACGAAAGUCUGACGGAGCAACGCCGCGUGAGUGAUGACGGCCUUCAGGUUGUAAAGCUCUGUUAAUCGGGACGAAAGGCCUUCUUGCGAAUAGUUAGAAGGAUUGACGGUACCGGAAUAGAAAGCCACGGCUAACUACGUGCCAGCAGCCGCGGUAAUACGUAGGUGGCAAGCGUUGUCCGGAAUUAUUGGGCGUAAAGCGCGCGCAGGCGGAUCAGUCAGUCUGUCUUAAAAGUUCGGGGCUUAACCCCGUGAGGGGAUGGAAACUGCUGAUCUAGAGUAUCGGAGAGGAAAGUGGAAUUCCUAGUGUAGCGGUGAAAUGCGUAGAUAUUAGGAAGAACACCAGUGGCGAAGGCGACUUUCUGGACGAAAACUGACGCUGAGGCGCGAAAGCCAGGGGAGCGAACGGGAUUAGAUACCCCGGUAGUCCUGGCCGUAAACGAUGGGUACUAGGUGUAGGAGGUAUCGACCCCUUCUGUGCCGGAGUUAACGCAAUAAGUACCCCGCCUGGGGAGUACGACCGCAAGGUUG
rnacentral:rRNA from 1 species